UACGAAGGGGGCAAGCGUUGUUCGGAAUUACUGGGCGUAAAGGGCGCGUAGGCGGUGCGCUAAGUCAGAUGUGAAAGCCCUGGGCUCAACCCGGGAAUUGCAUUUGAUACUGGCGUGCUCGAAUCCGGGAGAGGUUGGUGGAAUUCCCAGUGUAGAGGUGAAAUUCGUAGAGAUUGGGAAGAACACCGGUGGCGAAGGCGGCCAACUGGACCGGCAUUGACGCUGAGGCGCGAAAGCGUGGGGAGCAAACAGG
rnacentral:rRNA from 1 species